AGAUAAAAUUACUGUUUCUGUCAAUGGAGUCUGGUGGCUUUGAAGAGAGCGAUAUAAUGGCUUCAGUUCCCCAUCGGAACGGGCUGUCUGAUGCCGAGGUAAAGCGGCUGUGGACGGGAGCAGCACAUAAAUGUAUUUUAACCACCUAAAA